CAAAAAAGGCGGUAGGCAUGAUUCUUAGGCAAAUCCGGGAAUCUCUAUGCCGAGCACCGAGACGAGUCCUAUGAGGACGAAGUGACUGACACCACGCUUCCAGGAAAAGCCACUAAGCUUCAGCUGUAGAAAAACCGUACCGCAAACCGACACAGGUAGGCGGGGUGAGAAUCCCAAGGCGCUUGAGAGAACUCGGGUGAAGGAACUAGGCAAAAUGGCACCGUAACUUCGGGAGAAGGUGCGCCUCUUGGUGUGGUCACGUGCGUGACUGAGCAUCGAGGGGUCGCAGUAACCUGGCCGCUGCGACUGUUUAUCAAAAACACAGCACUCUGCAAACACGAAAGUGGACGUAUAGGGUGUGACGCCUGCCCGGUGCUGGAAGGUUAAUUGAUGGGGUCAGCCGCAAGGCGAAGCUCUUGAUCGAAGCCCCAGUAAACGGCGGCCGUAACGAUAACGGUCCUAAGGUAGCGAAAUUCCUUGUCGGGUAAGUUCCGACCUGCACGAAUGGCGUAACGACAGCGGCGCUGUCUCCACCCGAGACUCAGUGAAAUUGAAAUCGCUGUGAAGAUGCAGCGUUCCCGCGGCAAGACGGAAAGACCCCGUGAACCUUUACUAUAGCUUUACACUGAACGUUGAGUUCUUCUGUGUAGGAUAGGUGGGAGGCUAUGAAACCAGGACGCUAGUUCUGGUGGAGCCAUCCUUGAAAUACCACCCUGAAGUGCUUGACGUUCUAACCUAGGUCCGUAAUCCGGAUCGGGGACCGUGUAUGGUGGGUAGUUUGACUGGGGCGGUCUCCUCCCAAAGAGUAACGGAGGAGCACGAAGGUACGCUCAGCGCGGUCGGACAUCGCGCACUGUGUGCAAAGGCAUAAGCGUGCUUGACUGCGAGAUCGACGGAUCAAGCAGGUACGAAAGUAGGUCUUAGUGAUCCGGUGGUUCUGUAUGGAAGGGCCAUCGCUCAACGGAUAAAAGGUACUCCGGGGAUAACAGGCUGAUACCGCCCAAGAGUUCAUAUCGACGGCGGUGUUUGGCACCUCGAUGUCGGCUCAUCUCAUCCUGGGGCUGUAGCCGGUCCCAAGGGUAUGGCUGUUCGCCAUUUAAAGUGGUACGCGAGCUGGGUUCAGAACGUCGUGAGACAGUUCGGUCCCUAUCUGUCGUGGGCGUUGGAGAUUUGAGGGGGGCUGCUCCUAGUACGAGAGGACCGGAGUGGACGUUCCGCUGGUGUUCGGGUUGUCAUGCCCAUGGCAUUGCCCGGUAGCUACGAACGGAAGUGAUAACCGCUGAAAGCAUCUAAGCGGGAAGCACGCCCCAAGAUGAGAUCUCCCGAGAGCUUGACUCUCCUAAAGGCACCAUCAAGACUAGGUGGUUGAUAGGCACGGUGUGGAAGUGCAGCAAUGCAUUGAGCUUACGUGUACUAAUGAGCCGUGAGGCUUGACC
rnacentral:rRNA from 1 species